rnacentral:rRNA from 2 species
GGUUGCGAUCAUACCAGCACUAAUGCACCGGAUUCCAUCAGAACUCCGCAGUUAAGCGUGCUUGGGCGAGAGUAGUACUAGGAUGGGUGACCCCCUGGGAAGUCCUCGUGUUGCAACCC